AGAGUUUGAUCCUGGCUCAGAUUGAACGCUGGCGGCAGGCCUAACACAUGCAAGUCGAGCGGUAACAUUUCUAGCUUGCUAGAAGAUGACGAGCGGCGGACGGGUGAGUAAUGCUUGGGAACAUGCCUUGAGGUGGGGGACAACAGUUGGAAACGACUGCUAAUACCGCAUAAUGUCUACGGACCAAAGGGGGCUUCGGCUCUCGCCUUUAGAUUGGCCCAAGUGGGAUUAGCUAGUUGGUGAGGUAAUGGCUCACCAAGGCGACGAUCCCUAGCUGGUUUGAGAGGAUGAUCAGCCACACUGGGACUGAGACACGGCCCAGACUCCUACGGGAGGCAGCAGUGGGGAAUAUUGCACAAUGGGCGCAAGCCUGAUGCAGCCAUGCCGCGUGUGUGAAGAAGGCCUUCGGGUUGUAAAGCACUUUCAGUCAGGAGGAAAGGUUAGUAGUUAAUACCUGCUAGCUGUGACGUUACUGACAGAAGAAGCACCGGCUAACUCCGUGCCAGCAGCCGCGGUAAUACGGAGGGUGCGAGCGUUAAUCGGAAUUACUGGGCGUAAAGCGUACGCAGGCGGUUUGUUAAGCGAGAUGUGAAAGCCCCGGGCUCAACCUGGGAACUGCAUUUCGAACUGGCAAACUAGAGUGUGAUAGAGGGUGGUAGAAUUUC
rnacentral:rRNA from 1 species